rnacentral:rRNA from 1 species
CCUGCUCAAUGCAUAUAAAUAGCCGCCAAAAGUGCUAAGGUAGCAUAAUAACUUGCCCUUUAAUUAAGAGAUAGAAUGAAAGGAAAAACGAUUUAUUAACUGUUUCAUCCUUAUUUCUAUAAAUUAAUAACUUAGGUAAAAACACCACUAUUCCUUAGCAGGACGACAAGACCCUAAUGAACUUAACUUUAUAGUUACACUGGGACGGUGCAAAACCAUAUCUUUUAACCCUUUCCUAUUUAAGCUUCCCCAUGAAUAAAAUAAGUUACCAUAGGGAUAACAGCAUAAUAAUCUACUAAAGCUCCCAUUAAAUAGAUUGCUUAUGACCUCGAUGUUGAAUUAAUUUUACUGUUCACAGAAAAAAGUGAAAAAGAUAAGUCUGUUCGACUUAUAAUCAAUUACAU